UACAGAGGUCCCGAGCGUUGUUCGGAUUCACUGGGCGUAAAGGGUGCGUAGGUGGCAGGGUAAGUCUGAUGUGAAAUCUCCAAGCUUAACUUGGAAAUGGCAUUGGAAACUACUCUGCUCGAGGGUUGGAGGGGGGACUGGAAUACUUGGUGUAGCAGUGAAAUGCGUAGAUAUCAAGUGGAACACCAGUGGCGAAGGCGAGUCCCUGGACAACUCCUGACACUGAGGCACGAAAGCUAGGGGAGCAAACAGG
rnacentral:rRNA from 1 species